CAUCCUCCAAGGCUAAAUACUCCUGACUGACCGAUAGUGAACCAGUACCGUGAGGGAAAGGCGAAAAGAACCCCGGCGAGGGGAGUGAAAAAGAACCUGAAACCGUGUACGUACAAGCAGUGGGAGCCCCACCACCAAAGCAUUCUCUGGUGUUGAAGGCCCUGCAAAGCAGCAUCGCGGUGGCGGAGCGUCGUUUGCGACGCCCAACACACAAAACAAGCGGUGAGUGCUUUGGGGUGGGGUGACUGCGUACC
rnacentral:rRNA from 1 species